GUGGGGAAUAUUGGACAAUGGGCGCAAGCCUGAUCCAGCCAUGCCGCGUGAGUGAUGAAGGCCUUAGGGUUGUAAAGCUCUUUCAGUGGGGACGAUAAUGACGGUACCCACAGAAGAAGCCCCGGCUAACUUCGUGCCAGCAGCCGCGGUAAUACGAAGGGGGCUAGCGUUGUUCGGAUUUACUGGGCGUAAAGCGCACGUAGGCGGGUCGUUAAGUCGGGGGUGAAAUCCUGGAGCUCAACUCCAGAACUGCCUUCGAUACUGGCGACCUAGAGUCCGGAAGAGGUGAGUGGAACUCCUAGUGUAGAGGUGGAAUUCGUAGAUAUUAGGAAGAACACCAGUGGCGAAGGCGGCUCACUGGUCCGGUACUGACGCUGAGGUGCGAAAGCGUGGGGAGCAAACAGGAUUAGAAACCCGUGUAGUCC
rnacentral:rRNA from 1 species